AGGGAUUAACCCGGGCUACGCCCGGGAUUUUUAUUUUUUUUUAAUUUAAGUUGUUAAAUUAUUUAUAUUUAGUUUAUGAUAUAUAUUUAUAUAAAUGUUAAGAUGCAUGUCAUAAUUAAAAUUUAUUUUUAAAUUUUAACACGUUAAAGUAACAUAUUUUUUACUGUUUAAAUAUUUUUUGUAAUUUUGUUGGCUAUCUAGUUAUCAUAUUUAGCAAAACUAUCUGUUGAGUAUUUGAAUAAAUGUUUUAGAUAUUUAAUUAAACUGCAGAGUAUUUUCGGUUCGACCACAUGCUCAACAAUCUAUCGAUCCG
rnacentral:lncRNA from 1 species